GGAACAGGGCACGAUGUCUGCGCAGGACCAGCUGCCAGCUGCAGGACCGCCGUGCCAUGGUCUGGGGAUCCUAAACUUCCCGGGAGUAUUUUGGAUUGCCUCAAGCAAGCACCCAUGUGCAGUAGGAGCCAAUGGAGAGGUCGGGGAGCAAGAAUUCCUGUCCCCUCAAAGGUCCUUCCAGCAAGACUAAGAAUCAAAUCGACAUGAGGCAGAUCAACAGAUCAAAUCUAACAGCGUACGUAGGAAUCCACAGAGACACGGAAAUUCCAAAGAAGCGUCAGGAAAAUGAGGAAACGAGACCCGUGAGCAGGGAAGGCCAGUCUCGAGCCCAAGGGCCUCUCUCCCUCCAGACACCUGAUGGGAGCGGCACAGAGCAGGAGGGUCCAGAGCUGGGAUGAGAACUUCUGAAGAGCAAAGCAGGCUCUCCUCCGUCUUUUCGGGCUGACGACGGAGAUUAGCAUGGCUCUCAACGAAAAGGACAGAAUGGCCCUCCUGUGAAAGGGCAGCAAAGACAGACUACAACCCAGCCUCAACCUUCCUCUGCCUAGGAGAGGAGAAAGGGAGCCCUCUCUGGUGGAAGAUCACAUCACACGGAGGUUUCGCCUACCUUUUUUCCAUGUUUUCUGUAUACAA